GUGGGGAAUCUUAGACAAUGGGCGCAAGCCUGAUCUAGCCAUGCCGCGUGAGCGAUGAAGGCCUUAGGGUUGUAAAGCUCUUUCGUGGGGGAAGAUAAUGACUGUACCCCAAGAAGAAGCCCCGGCUAACUCCGUGCCAGCAGCCGCGGUAAUACGGAGGGGGCUAGCGUUGUUCGGAAUUACUGGGCGUAAAGCGCACGUAGGAGGACUGGAAAGUCAGGGGUGAAAUCCCGGGGCUCAACCCCGGAACUGCCUUUGAAACUCCCAGGCUUGAGUUCGAGAGAGGUGAGUGGAAUUCCGAGUGUAGAGGUGAAAUUCGUAGAUAUUCGGAGGAACACCAGUGGCGAAGGCGGCUCACUGGCUCGAUACUGACGCUGAGGUGCGAAAGCGUGGGGAGCAAACAGGAUUAGAUACCCGUGUAGUCC
rnacentral:rRNA from 1 species